rnacentral:rRNA from 1 species
AUACGGAGGGUGCAAGCGUUACUCGGAAUCACUGGGCGUGAAGCGCGCGCAGGCGGUCUUUUAAGUUGGAUGUGAAAGCCUACGGCUCAACCGUAGAACUGCAUCCAAAACUAUUAGACUAGAGUGUGGGAGAGGAAGAUGGAAUUAGUUGUGUAGGGGUAAAAUCCGUAGAGAUAACUAGGAAUACCAAAAGCGAAGGCAAUCUUCUGGAACACUACUGACGCUGAGGCGCGAAAGCGUGGGGAGCAAACAGGAUUAGAAACCCUAGUAGUCC